UCCAUAUAGUCCGCAGGAAGUCCUCCG
rnacentral:sRNA from 1 species